GUGGUCCUCACCUCUGCCUUGGAGACCUCAGGGAUGCAGGGUGAAUAUUUUUAACUCUCUCACCUAACACUGCACCUGAAACUGAAGUCCAGAUAUAUUAAAGACAGGCAGUGAAAUCCCUGGAACAUACUCAGGGUUUCCAGAAACUUGCCACUAUUUGGAUCUCUCUUUCUUCUUAGAGUCUCUGGAAUCAGCUGUAAGUGUCCCCACAUCAGUGAUGCUGAAAGCCAGGGCAGAUGGCUUCAGUCCCCUGCAGUGUGACCUUCGGGGUAAGAUCUGCUUUCCUUUCUCUGCAUGGGACUGAUGGGUGCAUCAGUUAUUGUGUUCCUUAGUUGACUUAGCAAAAGGGAAGUUAGCUGAUUGAAUUAUAUGGUACCUUUUACUUUAAAGGUUUACUUAUUUAUUUAAGCAGUAUUUAUACUACAAUACUGACUGAUUCCUCAGAUUUCCA
rnacentral:lncRNA from 1 species